UCUUUGGGCUCUUCUUGCUUGGUGGAUAUUCAUAUGUACGGAGAUGCUGGCUGCCCAUCUAUUUUGCAAAGGACAAUUUCUUCCAGUUCUAAUGUGCGCACGAGAGGGGGGCGUCAGGGUUCGUUGUCAGCUAGCAGUCUGAAUCUCCGUGCUUCGGAUUGGUCUGAUGAUCUGCAACACGUACGACGGAGGACAAAAGAAUUCUGCUGAAUUGUAGCGGCGCCGUCGAGAGAUUGAUGAAGGAAAACGUCAUGUGUUGGGUUCUUCAGGUUUACCUUGACUUUUUGCAUUUUGAUUUAUUCCUCCCCCGCUUCUUAACUUGUUCCCGCUGAUGGGGUGUCUUUCCCGGGUAUAGAGUCUAGACAUGUUUCUUCCGUGUGGUUGUUCCCAUCUUUUGGGGCCUCUUUAUCUCGGCCGUAGGUGUUGGCAGUCAAGCCAACCACGGGUAUUCUCUUCUUCGAGAUCUAGACCAUCUUUUGUGUCUGGGUCUCACUAGACUUAAAUUCUCGAUCUACACUCACAGCUAAAACAUGACAAUUUGAACCGUUGAUUAAUGCAAGAGAUUGAAGAUACAACUCAUGGAAUCUGAAGAAUUAGAAAAAAGGUCAAAAUUCAUUUUUAUUUCAAAGGUGGACGGUUGAAUUUUUUAUUUAACUGAUUCUGAACGUCCAAGGUAUCUGUUUUAUUCUACUAUGGACUUUAUUGCCGCAUUAGCAUAUAUUUUUUUGCGAGAUGCUGCAUUAUCAUUUAUGUUCUUGCAUAUUCUGUUGGUCCUUAAUGCUGCCACUGACGACCAAGUGCUGCAUAUUUAUUUUUCUUUAUAGGAAAAUGUAACACAUACAACUAUGAUUAACACAUUCUUUUUAGUAUUUACAUUGGCAUUCUUUUGUCACUGGACAAUUUUUUGUCACAUAUAAUGAUGUUUAUGAAUCUGUUCAUGUAUUUUCGAGCUUUAGAUGAGUAUAUAUACUACCAACCCUUGCUUUUCCUUUCAGACUAGGCCUACCAGGCUACCACAAGGUCACCUCAGUUGAUUUCAGACUAGGCGAGCUCCUGGAUAGCCUUUGCAACUCGAUGCUCGGCAAGGAAGAAGGUUGUAGAGUGCGGAUGGAUGUGAAAAGGAAGAGGAUGGAUGCGAGAAGAGAGAAGAGGGGUGAAAGAGGAUAUGGCUAGAAAGAGGGAGAAGGACAGGGUGGAGGCGCUUCUUGAGGAUUUUUGUCUGACUGAUUUCAUACUCUCUUAUAAAUCAUGGUUAGCUAGGUAAACCUUUUGUACAACAGCUCUUGUUCAAAAGGAAGUUUGAUCUUUCGGCUUCUUAUUUUAGGUCAAUAUCAAGUACAGUUUAGUUAAUUUAU